rnacentral:rRNA from 1 species
UACGUAGGGGGCAAGCGUUGUCCGGAUUCAUUGGGCGUAAAGAGCGUGUAGGCGGCCAGGUAGGUCGGUUGUGAAAACUGGAGGCUCAACCUUCAGAGGUCGACCGAAACCAUCUGGCUAGAGUCCGGGAGAGGAGAGUGGAAUUCCUGGUGUAGCGGUGAAAUGCGCAGAUAUCAGGAAGAACACCCGUGGCGAAAGCGGCUCUCUGGAACGGUACUGACGCUGAGACGA